rnacentral:rRNA from 1 species
CCACGCUGUAAACGCUGUCGAUUUGGGGGUUGGGCUUAAUGCUUGGUGCCCGUAGCUAACGUGAUAAAUCGACCGCCUGGGGAGUACGGCCGCAAGGUUAAAACUCAAAUGAAUUGACGGGGGCCCGCACAAGCGGUGGAGCAUGUGGUUUAAUUCGAUGCAACGCGAAGAACCUUACCUACUCUUGACAUCCAUGGAAGUUCGCAGAGAUGUGAAUGUGCCUUCGGGAACUUUGAGACAGGUGCUGCAUGGCUGU